UACAGAGGUCUCAAGCGUUGUUCGGAUUCAUUGGGCGUAAAGGGUGCGUAGGCGGCGCGGUAAGUCGGGUGUGAAAUCUCGGAGCUUAACUCCGAAACUGCAUUCGAAACUGCCAAGCUUGAGUUCUGGAGAGGAAGGCGGAAUUCUCGGUGUAGAGGUGAAAUUCGUAGAUAUCGAGAGGAACACCGGUGGCGAAGGCGGCUCUCUGGGACGGUACUGACGCUGAGACGCGAAAGCGUGGGGAGCAAACAGGAUUGAGAA
rnacentral:rRNA from 1 species